AAUCAUAUAUGUUGCUCUGAGGCAAAAGACAUGCAUGUCUUAGGAAGUUAACUAGUCUGGAUAUAUAUAAAGAAUACACAUAGAUUAUUGCGCUAUCUGGUAAUAACUUCGUUCAUGAAUUUCCAUAUGGAAGCACAAUCCUUUUUAUAUACAAAAGACCCUAGCCUCGAUCUAGCAUAUAUAGAUAGAGCACAGUAGCUCACAACUGUUUAUCUAUGGCUCUGUAUAUUAUCUCUAAGCAUGUAUAGUUUCAUGACUUUCCAUUCCUAACAAAAUAGGAAGGAGCAUAGAUCGCGACUAAACUAAAAUAACCUUUCAGUACUCUUAAACAUUUAUAGUACUUAAAAAACCAGCUAGUAGGUUGGUCUAUACCUAGUUAUGGAUUGGAGGCUUUUUACUUGCUGGACUGUAAUCCAUAGCCAGUAAAUCAGUACUCUCAUCUGGUACUACUCCAUCAUCUUCUUUGAUCCCAUGUUUCAAGGUUUCAUCACAGCUCUUCUCAUCAGAUCUAUAGUUACUCCGCGCCACUCCCAAACUUCGUGCUGCUGCAAAUUAAAAAGCCAAGAUGUACACAAUUAGGGUUAGCUAGGUUUAUUUCUGCACUAUCAGAGAGAGCUCAUCAACUGACAGAUUAUAAACCAGGAAUUUACCUUCAGUAGUUGUGAUAGUGAUGAAGCAAAGCAAGAUUAAAGCCACAAGAACAAGGUGCUUGUAUCGUAUCACAGCUGCCAUUUGUAGGUAUCUGAUAUAUUCAAGUAUGUGCUGAUCUUUUUAGUUCCUGGAUAUAUAGCUUAUCAGAGCACUUAGUUGUGAAUGGAUAUGGAGUAGGUUCUUCCUUAUAUAGACUUGUAGAGAGGGAUGAACAGUAUUUUGCUGGCAAUGGACUACGACUUAAUAUAAUUGCAAUUCUGUUGUGAGCAGCAAUAAGGUCGUGUUGAGUCACCAUCAAUGUCUCCUACUGUCUGCUCUUGAAAUGAUAGCUUAAUUAGCUUGGACACAAGACGCUCCGAUCCUUGGGCUAUAAGUGUGAAUACCCAUUGGUAACUACUCUAGUAAAUCAAAGAGGUCGGCACAGUGUCAAAGAAGGAAGAUGCAUUCCCUUAUGCCCUAGACCAUAUGAAUGCUUCUUUUUUUUAUCUAGCUAGACGGAUUAUUUUGUACAUCGGAUUAAUUUUACCACGGGACAACGUCAAGUGCGUGCAUGGUGUACCCACAAGUUUUUGCUUGACACACAUUUGCGUGGCCACUUCGUUUACAGCCUAAUGACUAGAGAAGAGUUUAUGACCCCGUCUUACCUUUGCAUCUCAAGAUGGAGCAUAGCAAUGUGGGUUGUAGGGUUUGCGAGGCACAAUAAGGAGCUGGUAUUGUUUUUAGCCACAAAGAGUUGGCAGAAGGAGUUUCUUGUUUGGAUUCGAUGUAAGAAAAACUUUGGCUUAUCUGAUUUCAAUCGAUUCGAUUUAUUUUUGAAAGGGAUUUGAUUAUAUUCCAUAAAAAUGCAUGGUUCUUUGCAUCUGGGAAAACCCUAAUUAGACUCUCCUCCCGUACGUAUGUAUUGAAUUGUUAAUAAAAGAAUAAGCACUCCAUGCAGGACUAAACUCAUGAGAAACUGAUAACUCAAGGUUUGAAUGCAUAUAUUCAGACUAAAACACAAGUAAUAGAUGCAGUUGAUUGAAGCUCAGUUUGGAUUCAAGCAAAAAGACCAGUAGACUUGUAAUUGAAUUAACAUACCAAAAAUUGUAACGCCUAAGGGAACUAACAUUUAGUCUAAUAACGAGACAAUUAUGUUUAACGAUCGAGAAUAUUGUUGUUCCUGCUGCAUGAUGAUGAGCCUGCAUCUUCAUAUUGUUGUUGCUGCUGCAUCUUCGUAUAUAUUAGCCAUGCCUUAGACAUUAUUAUCAUUCUAGCUUUAUAAUUGACAAUUUCUGCUGGGUGAAGACAGAUUUCGCAUAGCCCUCUCCCUUAGACACAAGUUUUAGUCAAGUAAUGCGGACAAACUCAUGUACCUGUAAACCAUUUUUGACCUCCUUCAGAGGAGACCAUAAUUCCCCACAAAUCAAUAACUAACUUCCAAACAUAAAUAUAUCAUCAAGUAGUGGAAGAUAUUCAUGCAUCCAGUGAUCGAAGGAUCUAGGUGAUGAAAUGCUUCCAAACUAUCCGCGUAUACCCGGUGGUUAACAAACAAAAUCAAACUUAUGUAGGCAGCACAUUACAUCCUAGAUAAAUCUUAGUCGAUCCAUUUCCUAUAGGAUUGAAUUCCUGAAUAUUCUAGGCAAGGAACUAAUUAUCGAUCAUCAAAAAUUAUCAGCAACUAACACCAGUUUACUGUACGAAUC
rnacentral:lncRNA from 1 species